rnacentral:rRNA from 1 species
GAUGAACGCUAGCGGCGUGCCUAACACAUGCAAGUCGAACGUGAGAGGGUACUUGUAUCCUUGAAAGUGGCGGACGGGUGAGUAAGACGUAGGUGACCUGCCUUGAAGUGGGGGAUAACCAUUGGAAACGAUGGCUAAUACCGCAUAAGCUGGUGAUGAUGGGAAUCGUUAUCAGGAAAGCUUUAGUGCUUUGAGAGGGGCCUACGGCCGAUUAGCUAGUUGGUGAGGUAAAGGCUCACCAAGGCGAUGAUCGGUAGCUGGUCUGAGAGGACGAUCAGCCACACGGGAACUGAGACACGGUCCCGACUCCUACGGGGGGCAGCAGUGAGGAAUAUUGGGCAAUGGGCGAAAGCCUGACCCAGCAACGCCGCGUGGAGGAUGAAGGCUUUAGGGUUGUAAACUCCUUUUGUGGGGGAAAGAAUGGAUGGUACCCCAAGAAUAAGUCACGGCUAACUACGUGCCAGCAGCCGCGGUAAGGCGUAUGUGU